UACGUAGGGUCCAGGCGUUAUCCGGAAUCACUGGGCGUAAAGCGUGCGUAGGUGGCGUGUUAAGUGUGAUGUUAAAUCGUGUGGCUCAACCAUAUCGAUGUGUCGCAUACUGGCAUGCUAGAGGACAGCAGAGGCAAGUGGAAUUAGUAGUGUAGCAGUGAAAUGCGUAGAUAUUACUAGGAACACCAAUGGCGAAGGCAGCUUGCUGGGCUACUCCUGACACUGAGGUACGAAAGCGUGGGGAGCGAACAGG
rnacentral:rRNA from 1 species